GGCUCUGUAGUCUAAAGGUAAUGACAUGUCCCUUUCAAGGACAUAAUGAUCGGUUCAAGUCCGACCGGAGUCG
rnacentral:tRNA from 1 species